rnacentral:rRNA from 1 species
UACGAAGGGGGCGAGCGUUGUUCGGAAUUACUGGGCGUAAAGGGCGCGUAGGCGGCGAUCCUAGUCAGAUGUGAAAGUCCUGGGCUUAACCUGGGGACUGCAUUUGAUACUGGAUUGCUUGAAUUCGGGAGAGGAUAGCGGAAUUCCCGGUGUAGAGGUGAAAUUCGUAGAUAUUGGGAGGAACACCGGUGGCGAAGGCGGCUAUCUGGACCGACAUUGACGCUGAGGCGCGAAAGCGUGGGGAGCAAACAGG